UACAGAGGUCUCAAGCGUUGUUCGGAUUCAUUGGGCGUAAAGGGUGUGUAGGUGGCGCCGUAAGUCGGGUGUGAAAUUUCGGAGCUUAACUCCGAAACUGCAUUCGAUACUGCGGUGCUUGAGGACUGGAGAGGAGACUGGAAUUCCUGGUGUAGCGGUGAAAUGCGCAGAUAUCAGGAGGAACACCGGUGGCGAAGGCGGGUCUCUGGGCCGAUACUGACGCUGAGGAGCGAAAGCGUGGGGAGCAAACAGG
rnacentral:rRNA from 1 species